AUCUACGGCCAUACCACCCUGAACACACCCAAUUUCGUCUGAUCUCAGAAGCUAAGCAGGGUCAGGCCUGGUUAGUACUUGGAUGGGAGAAAGAGUCAAAUCACAAAUU
rnacentral:rRNA from 1 species